GUGGGGAAUCUUAGACAAUGGGGGCAACCCUGAUCUAGCCAUGCCGCGUGAGUGAUGAAGGCCUUAGGGUCGUAAAGCUCUUUCGCCGGGGAAGAUAAUGACGGUACCCGGUAAAGAAACCCCGGCUAACUCCGUGCCAGCAGCCGCGGUAAUACGGAGGGGGUUAGCGUUGUUCGGAAUUACUGGGCGUAAAGCGCGCGUAGGCGGAUCGGAAAGUUGGGGGUGAAAUCCCGGGGCUCAACCCCGGAAUUGCCUUCAAAACUCCCGGUCUUGAGGUCGAGAGAGGUGAGUGGAAUUCCGAGUGUAGAGGUGAAAUUCGUAGAUAUUCGGAGGAACACCAGUGGCGAAGGCGGCUCACUGGCUCGAUACUGACGCUGAGGUGCGAAAGCGUGGGGAGCAAACAGGAUUAGAUACCCGUGUAGUCC
rnacentral:rRNA from 1 species